UGUGUGUAAAGGUUGGACUAGGAGAGAAAGAUGGGGCAAAAUAGAACUAAGUCUGUUGCUCAAAAAAAAAAAAAAAAAAAAAAUAGAACUAAGUCUAAGUUGAAGAUGGGUCAUUGAGAUUUUUUGACAAUUUUUUUUUUCUUUAUAUGGGUCAUUGAGAUGAAAGGCAUAAUUUAGACUUUGAAUAUUAGAAAAAAAAUCUAAGCUCUUUUGUCCCAUCUUUUGGCUUCAUGAAAGAGACCACAUAACGUAUGAUAUGUGUAGCCUUAAUCUUCUCCACAUGUAUAUGCAACCCAAACACUCACGAACAUAUAAGAUAUA
rnacentral:lncRNA from 1 species